rnacentral:lncRNA from 1 species
AUCUCAUAUAAUAUAUGUCAAGGUUAGGACGAUCCUGUUUUAAGAAGUAAUUUUAAUGCCUUCAAAAACUAGGAAGAAACCUUUUAUAGAAACUCUUCAAUUAAUUAACUAAAGUUAAAAUUCACUAUUUUCAACAUUCCCACAUACGUAGACACACAUACACACACACAAUAAACAGCAGUCAAUAAAGCAACAUAAUAUUUGAAGACUCAAGCAUUAGUAAACAGUCAAUCUAUCAAAACAAAAAGAAAAAAAACUUAAUUUAUGCAGCUCUUAAAUAUUCAUGUUUAGGCCAGAGCUGCAACUACUAAAGCCAGAAUUCAUAACUUUGAAAAGGCAAUCAUUGGAUCAGCUGGCAGUUUUGUCCACACAACUGCAUAAACAAUUUGUCUACUUUCCAUUAAAUACACCAGAUGCUUUGUUGUCAUGUAAACACAAUCUAAAUGAAAUCCACAGAUUUUCCCCCCCAAACUUCAUUUUAGAGAAAUGGUUCUUGGCUGAUCUUAUUCUAGGUCUGCUAACAAUUUAACCAGGAUUAUUUGAUUGGUUUUCAACUCUUUUGCCAUCUCUCGUCGUCCAUCCUUUAUUGGGCAAGCAAAUGCUGGAGAAAAUGAUGUAAAGGCAAGCAAAUAAACAUGGAAAGAAAGGUCUCUGGGAAGCCAGACAUUCCUCAGAGUUGUCAGGCCUUUCUCAGGAAGGGAGUGGUUAGAAGGGCACGGGAGGUUAAUGUCCAAACUGCUUCCUGAUUUGAAAUGCCCCUCUCUCUGGAGCUCAAGAAUGAGAAUCUCUUCCCCUCAACAAAAUGGCCUGUCUGUGGACACUUCCACUUCCAAGGUUCUUGCAGGCUCCAGGUAAGUAACAGGUAACAAUAUACCAUUUUCCCAUUGACUAAAAAAAUGUUAUACAAGGAAUUAAUUAGUCUCUAUCAGUUUUCAUAAAUAACACACCUUCCUGCUCAUGAAGGUCACAUGGUGUUCCAGUGCUUUUUGUGUUGUCUGAUGGAUGGGAAAUGAGAGAAACAACAUUGGCAGCAACAGUCACAACAAAGAGGGGCUCACAAUGUGAAGGAAUCAAAUGCUUCAUGUCCAUUUUAUUGUGGUUUAUGUUUUCCUGACCCAGUUCACUUUUUGAUGCUCAGUCAGAAGUAAAGCAUAACUCAGGCAUUCUCAAUCACCUACCCAAUAUAAGAGUCAGUAUGAUUCGUUUAUAGUUUUGCUUCUCUCAGUCUAAAAGUUGGGAACAAACUGAGAAAUAUCAGACCCUAUUAAAAAUACUUAUGCACAGACCCUUUUGGCAUUAUUGAAGCCGUUCAGGAAAAGGAGUCACUAGGCCUAUCACUGGCCAUCGCAUGAUGACAUCUCAGUUACUAAAGCAAGAUACAAUUAAAAGCAGUUUUGAAUAGUUUCAUGUGUGAAGAGUGAGAGGAAGGGUAGGCAGAUGUAAUUGUUUGGACAUGAUCUUUAAUUUUUUUGGAUAUGAUCUUUAGUUGUCUACAGGCAGGCUAGAUGCUAUUUCGUAUCUCUCUGAGCAUCAGGGACCUGCCGUGGUGAUGCAUACUGAAGUUUGAGCUGCCAUCACGUUUUCUGUUACG